CGUGUAGGCGGCCGCACAGGUCCGUUGUGAAAACUGGAGGCUUAACCUUCAGACGUCGAUGGAAACCGUGCGGCUAGAGUCCGGAAGAGGAGAGUGGAAUUCCUGGUGUAGCGGUGAAAUGCGCAGAUAUCAGGAAGAACACCCGUGGCGAAGGCGGCUCUCUGGGACGGUACUGACGCUGAGACGCGAAAGCGUGGGGAGCGAACA
rnacentral:rRNA from 1 species